UAAAAGAAAUCAAAUCCAUGUCUUCUCCCCCUUCCUCUUCAUCACUUCCCCUUUCUCCUCACAACCCAGCUUGCUUCCACCGAUGCCAAGGUGGUUCACUUUGUCGUUGGUAGUUCAUCCUCUUCAUACCUUCUUCUCCCCUAUGCUUCUUCAGUCUUCUUCUACAAAACCAACCAAAACCCGAAUCUCAUGCCCCUUGAGUUCGUCGACAUCCUCACACGAUGUAAGAGCCAGAGCAUAGCCUUGAGUUCGAGAGGGGAAUGGAAUUCGAAGCCUUGAUUUAUGCUUGUAGAGUGGCAUGGGUUUGGAAGGGAAGGAAAAGCUCGAGCAAGAUUUGGUUUUGUCAAUCAAUCUCAUAGGGCUUGAUUCUGAGACCCUUGAGGAGAGAAGUUUUUAUGGUGUUGCCUUUGAUGAGCCUGAAUUGAAGUUGUAACUUGAGGGCACAAAUCAGUGGCGACGUGGGAGGAAAUCACUAGCGAACCCAACUCAAUGGUGGCAUGGGAAGAGAUGAACAGAAGGUAAGGUCUGAGCUGAAGAAGGGGAUGAAGCUGGUGAGGCAAAGGGAAGACGAUGAACUACGUGGCUGUGAAGAUAAUUGAAUGAAAAAUGGGGCACAUCUGACAUGGACUCCCACGUGGCAUUUAAUGAUCAAAAUUAGUAAGUUGACUGUCAACACUAACAAUAAUACUACAUUGUACCUAUUUGAAAAAUACUGGGGGUGAUAUUACACAAAAAAAAAACUUAAAAAUA